GAUGAACGCUGGCGGCGUGCUUAACACAUGCAAGUCGAACGGGAUCGGCUGGAGCUUGCUCCGGCCGUGAGAGUGGCGAACGGGUGAGUAAUGCGUGACCGACCUGCCCCAUACACCGGAAUAGCUCCUGGAAACGGGUGGUAAUGCCGGAUGCUCCGACAUGACGCAUGUCGUGUUGGGAAAGAUUCAUCGGUAUGGGAUGGGGUCGCGUCCUAUCAGGUAGUCGGCGGGGUAACGGCCCACCGAGCCUACGACGGGUAGCCGGCCUGAGGGGGCGACCGGCCACAUUGGGACUGAGAUACGGCCCAGACUCCUACGGGAGGCAGCAGUGGGGAAUAUUGCACAAUGGGCGCAAGCCUGAUGCAGCGACGCCGCGUGCGGGAUGACGGCCUUCGGGUUGUAAACCGCUUUUGACUGGGAGCAAGCCCUUCGGGGUGAG
rnacentral:rRNA from 1 species